rnacentral:rRNA from 1 species
AGAGCGAACGCUGGCGGCAGGCUUAACACAUGCAAGUCGAGCGGGCGUAGCAAUACGUCAGCGGCAGACGGGUGAGUAACGCGUGGGAACAUACCUUUUGGUUCGGAACAACACAGGGAAACUUGUGCUAAUACCGGAUAAGCCCUUACGGGGAAAGAUUUAUCGCCGAAAGAUUGGCCCGCGUCUGAUUAGCUAGUUGGUGAGGUAAUGGCUCACCAAGGCGACGAUCAGUAGCUGGUCUGAGAGGAUGAUCAGCCACAUUGGGACUGAGACACGGCCCAAACUCCUACGGGAGGCAGCAGUGGGGAAUAUUGGACAAUGGGCGCAAGCCUGAUCCAGCCAUGCCGCGUGAGUGAUGAAGGCCUAGGGUUGUAAAGCUCUUUUGUGCGGGAAGAUAAUGACGGUACCGCAAGAAUAAGCCCGGCUAACUUCGUGCCAGCAGCCGC